GAUGAACGCUGGCGGCGUGCCUAAUACAUGCAAGUCGAGCGAACGGACGAGAAUCUUGCUUCUCUGAUGUUAGCGGCGGACGGGUGAGUAACACGUGUAUAACCUACCUAUAAGACUGGGAUAACUUCGGGAAACCUGAGCUAAUACCGGAUGAUAUUUUGAACCGCAUGGUUCAACAGUGCAAGACGGUCUUGCUGUCACUUAUAGAUGGAUCCACGAUGCAUUAGCUAGUUGGUAGGGUAACGGCUUACCAAGGCGACGAUGCAUAGCCGACCUGAGAGGGUGAUCAGUCACACUGGAACUGAGACACGGUCCAGACUCCUACGGGAGGCAGCAGUGGGGAAUAUUGGACAAUGGGUGAAAGCCUGAAGCAGCAAUGCCGCGUGAGUGAUGAAGGUCUUCGGAUUGUAAAACACUGUUAGUUGGGAGGAAGAUCAGUGUGAGAAAACCUGGCUAUUUUGACGUUACCAAAAGAAAAAGCACCGGCUAACUUCGUG
rnacentral:rRNA from 1 species